rnacentral:lncRNA from 1 species
AAUCCCAGAAUGGGUCCCUGACGGUGUUUUGGGGUCCCUGAUAGGAUUUGGGGGUCCCUGGUGGGAUUUUGGGGGUCCCUGACAGAUUUUGGGGUUCCUGAUUUGAUUUCGGGAGUCCCUGAUGGGAUUUUGGGGGUUCCCAGGUGCAUUUUGGAGUCCCUGGUGGGAUUUUUGGGUUCCCUGGUGGGAUUUUGGGGUCCCUGAUGGGAUUUUGGGGUCCCCCAGGGCUGGAGGAGCUAGGAUUGGACGGGGGCUCCUCCCCAGGGCGGGGCCCGGGCGGGGACAGCAGCUCCGUGUCCUCAUUGGGCCGCGACGGCUCCGCCCCCGGCAGCACCAAGUCGGGCUCGGGCAGCCCUGGGGGCGGCAGCGCCGGGGGGGUCCCGGCCGGGGGGGGCCUGUCCCCGGCAGAGGUGGCCGAGCUGUUCCAGAGGCUGGCCCAGAGUCAGCAGGAGCGCUGGCUGCUGGAGGAGAAGGUACUGGGAGCAUUGGGAGGGACUGGGAGGGAACUGGGGGGGACUGGAAGGGACUGGGAGGGGACUGGAGGGGACUGGGAGGGGACUGGGAGGGAACUGGGGGGUACUGGGAGGGGACUGGGAGGGAACUGGGGGGGACUGGGAGGGAACUAGGAGGGACUGGGGGGGACUGGGAGGGACUGGGAGGGACUGGGGC